GAAGCUUCAAGGUGUAGUAAGAGGGUCAUCCAGAAAGUGAGGUCUCCCUUCAAAUUUUUGCUAGUUGUUACUGCUAGACAAGAAAAAAUUACACCAUCGAAUUAUGUAUACCAUCAGCUUUAAUUUAAGCUAUCAUUCAGAAAUUUUCAUUUUUCAGUUCUUUUUACACAGAGAGCAGAGUUUAAAAAAAAUCGGACUCCCUGAUUCCGAGGGUUACUUGUCCCAUUAUUUAGCCCUGUUGCCUGCUUCCAACUAAUCAGACAAAAAUGAAAAAUCUCCAUUUUUUAUCAAACCCUGGAUCAUCGAUAAGAGAUAGAUACACAACCAUGAAAAACGUGUGAGACAAGUGUAUAAAUUUGAAAAAUUUCUGACUUUUUUUCUGAUUUUUCUUUCAGCAAUACUCUCAGGGACUGAAGAUGACGAGCCUCAGGCACAACAAAGUUACUGUAAAGUUUGCCAGACGUGAAAAUGAACGAAUGAAGCGUGCCAGGGAGAGAUCCUAUAAUUAUUUUACCGCUAAAAGUGCAGAAGAAGCAUGGUAUACGACCAAAUUCCAUGAUAAAAAUAGUAGACUAGCUGAGGUAGAAAGAAAUAAAUUAUCAGGGUCUUCACAAGAAGAUGCGGUCAAUACUCUUUGUCUAUCAAUAUCACAAUAUUUGGACACAUUGGCGCCAGUAAUGAAAGUCGAUGAAAGUGUACAGUUACCAGACCUGCCCUCUAAUGUCAUGUCUCUCAACAUCAUCAAAACAAAGUCACUUGCAGAACAAGUUGAAAUAGUCAUUAAAAGAUGUGCGAAUUAUUACUGUUAA
rnacentral:lncRNA from 1 species